GACGAACGCUGGCGGCGUGCUUAACACAUGCAAGUCGAGCGGAAAGGCCCACUUGUGGGUACUCGAGCGGCGAACGGGUGAGUAACACGUGAGUAAUCUGCCCUUCACUCUGGGAUAACGUUCAGAAAUGGGUGCUAAUACCGGAUGUACACAUGGUCUCGCAUGGGGUUGUGUGGAAAGAUUUUUUGGUGGGGGAUGUGCUCGCGGCCUAUCAGCUUGACGGUGGGGUAAUGGCCUACCGUGGCUUUGACGGGUAGCCGGCCUGAGAGGGUGACCGGCCACACUGGGACUGAGACACGGCCCAGACUCCUACGGGAGGCAGCAGUGGGGAAUAUUGGACAAUGGGCGGAAGCCUGAUCCAGCAACGCCGCGUGAGGGAUGACGGCCUUCGGGUUGUAAACCUCUUUCACCAUUGACGAAGCUGCAUCUUUUUGGGUGUGGUGACGGUAGGUGGGGAAGAAGCACCGGCCAACUACGUGCCAGCCGCCGCCGUAA
rnacentral:rRNA from 1 species